rnacentral:misc_RNA from 1 species
GAUGAAGAACUUAGCGAAAUGCGAUAAGUAAUGUGAAUUGCAGAAUUCAGUGAAUCAUCGAAUCUUUGAACGCACAUUGCGCCCUCUGGUAUUCCGGGGGGCAUGCCUGUUCGAGCGUCAUUAUAACCACUCAAGCUCUCGCUUGGUAUUGGGGUUCGCGGUUCCGCGGCCCCUAAAAUCAGUGGCGGUGCCUGUCGGCUCUACGCGUAGUAAUACUCCUCGCGAUUGAGUCCGGUAGGUCUACUUGCCAGCAACCCCCAAUUUUUACAGGUUGACCUCGGAUCAGGUAGGGAUACCCGCUGAACUUAAGCAUAUCAAUAAGCGGAGGA